AUUGAACGCUGGCGGCAGGCUUAACACAUGCAAGUCGAGCGGAGUGAUGGUGCUUGCACUAUCACUUAGCGGCGGACGGGUGAGUAAUGCUUAGGAAUCUGCCUAUUAGUGGGGGACAACAUCUCGAAAGGGAUGCUAAUACCGCAUACGUCCUACGGGAGAAAGCAGGGGAUCACUUGUGACCUUGCGCUAAUAGAUGAGCCUAAGUCGGAUUAGCUAGUUGGUGGGGUAAAGGCCUACCAAGGCGACGAUCUGUAGCGGGUCUGAGAGGAUGAUCCGCCACGCUGGGACUGAGACACGGCCGAGACUCCUACGGGGGGCAGCAGUGGGGAAUCUUGGACAGUGGGGGGGACCCUGAUCCAGCCAUGCCGCGUGUGUGAAGAAGGCCUUAUGGUUGUCAAGCACUUUAAGCGAGGAGGAGGCUCUUUUGGUUAAUACCCAAGAUGAGUGGACGUUACUCGCAGAAUAAGCACCGGCUAACUCUGUGCCAGCCGCCGCCGUAA
rnacentral:rRNA from 1 species